AUUGAACGCUGGCGGCAUGCCUUACACAUGCAAGUCGAACGGCAGCACGGGAGCAAUCCUGGUGGCGAGUGGCGAACGGGUGAGUAAUAUAUCGGAACGUGCCCAGUCGUGGGGAUAACGUAGCGAAAGCUACGCUAAUACCGCAUACGAUCUAUGGAUGAAAGCGGGGGAUCGCAAGGCCUCGCGCGAUUGGAGCGGCCGAUAUCAGAUUAGGUAGUUGGUGAGGUAAAGGCUCACCAAGCCGACGAUCUGUAGCUGGUCUGAGAGGACGACCAGCCACACUGGGACUGAGACACGGCCCAGACUCCUACGGGAGGCAGCAGUGGGGAAUUUUUGGACAAUGGGCGCAAGCCUGAUCCAGCAAUGCCGCGUGCAGGAUGAAGGCCUUCGGUUGUAAC
rnacentral:rRNA from 1 species